GAUGAAGAACGUAGCGAAAUGCGAUACGUAAUGUGAAUUGCAGAAUUCAGUGAAUCAUCGAGUCUUUGAACGCUCAUUGCGCCCCCUGGUAUUCCGGGGGGCAUGCCUGUCCGAGCGUCAUUGCUGCCCUCAAGCACGGCUUGUGUGUUGGGCCUCCGUCCUCCUCCCGGGGGACGGGCCCGAAAGGCAGCGGCGGCACCGCGUCCGGUCCUCGAGCAUAUGGGGCUUCGUCACCCGCUCUUGUAGGCCCGGCCGGCGCUUGCCGACACAUCAAUCUUUUUUCCAGGUUGACCUCGGAUCAGGUAGGGAUACCCGCUGAACUUAAGCAUAUCAAUAAGCGGAGGA
rnacentral:misc_RNA from 1 species